rnacentral:rRNA from 1 species
GAUGAACGCUGGCGGCAGGCCUAACACAUGCAAGUCGAACGCCCCGCAAGGGGAGUGGCAGACGGGUGAGUAACGCGUGGGAACCUACCUUUCGGUGCGGAAUAACUCCGGGAAACCGGAGCUAAUACCGCAUACGCCCUAUGGGGGAAAGAUUUAUCGCCGAUAGAUGGGCCCGCGUCGGAUUAGCUAGUUGGUGAGGUAACGGCUCACCAAGGCGACGAUCCGUAGCUGGUCUGAGAGGAUGAUCAGCCACACUGGGACUGAGACACGGCCCAGACUCCUACGGGAGGCAGCAGUGGGGAAUAUUGGACAAUGGGCGCAAGCCUGAUCCAGCCAUGCCGCGUGAGUGAAGAAGGCCUUAGGGUUGUAAAGCUCUUUUAGUGGGGAAGAUAAUGACGGUACCCACAGAAUAAGCCCCGGCUAACUUCGUGCCAGCCGCCGCAGUAA